UUGGUCUCUGUUACGGUGCGGGAGGGCGCCGGCGAGGUGGUACAGGUCGCCGAUGGACGGCAACGCCCACGGCCCCGGCGGGAGUCUGCUGGUACGGUGCACGGCCGUCCGCCGUCGUUCGGGUCGCCAGCCUACAGCCCGACUCUCUCUCUACGUGUGGCUGGUCUUGGCUGUUCGGCUGGCCGUGAUUUCGUUCGUUCUUCAUCUGUUGUUUCAUGAUUUGAUGUAGGAUUCGCUGGUGACCGUACGAGUACGCUGCGGAGUUGCUGCCACUGCCGCCACUACCUGGAUUCGCUCGCCGGUGUCUGGAACCACCCCAUAGAUUUGUCUCGCUGGUGCUUGGAGUCUCCGACGCCGCCAUCAAGGGAGAAAUAGACAUGGCAUCUGCGGGUCAAUCUUCAGUUAAGAGGCUGGGAAGCACCAAGCAUAUAUCAUUCGGUUAGCAAGGUACAAGCUAACUUAUUUAAUUUGUCCAACUUUUCAUGCUUAAUAUUCUGUAUAUUUCAAAUUCUAAUACUAGCAGAUGUGUUUUACAAGUCGUGCGAGGAUUGAGUAAAUUGAUGAUCAUUGAGUCAUCAAGGAGACGAGAACUUGAUGAAAAGAACAUUGGAUGCAGCAUAUGGGGCAGUAUUUUGAUCUCAUCUGAUGCAUGUAUUUAUUCUUUGUCUUUAUAACAUGGUAUUUUAUUAAUUGUUUAUCUAUACUUGCCGUAUCACCGUAUUGCUGAAUUGUUGUAUCCCAUGUCGUCGUACCCAUGUCGUCGUACCCCUAUCGCCGCAUCCAUGUUGCCGUAUCGCUGCUUCAUAGAGGAAAAUAAAGAUGCUGAACUUCUGAGUGAUGUUGGCAUGGUGCCCAGAAGAUAAAUAUUGGGUUGUUAAAUUAUUGUUCGGCUGGGAUCUUUAAACGAGGAUUCUUACCUUCAUACAUAUCCAACACCUUUUGUUGCUUUGUACGCAUUGAUAAUUUGUAUGCUUUGUUCAAGGUGUUGAAAUUCAAGCCCUAAUUCAUAAUCAUCAAUUAAACAUAACACAUAGAUUUAUGCAUGAAUAUGAAAUUCUGUUAUUUUUAAAGACCAUACUUAGGAACCAAAGUAUGACAGCAACGGCUUCGCGGCAACCGUUUUACUAUCGUGGCAAACUGAGAUUGAAGAAGUGCAAAUAUGAAUUAAUGGAUAUGUAGAUAUAUCAUCCUCUACUUCUGAAUGAAAUGGAAAACAAUAAUUUGAUAUCUGUAACAAGAAGAAUCUAAUAAGAAAAAUAACAUUCUACUCAAAAAGAAAAUGCCCAAGCUGCCACUAUUCAGUCAGCCUAGGAGUAAAGUUAUACCAAGCAAUGCCGCAUCAACAUGCUCUUUCCCUGCAGAAAGAGUUUACAAGACGGACAAGAAUUUUAACCAAGAUUUGUGACAACUUCUCAUAAAUUCUGCCGCUUCGC